rnacentral:rRNA from 1 species
AAGCCCUGGAAACGGGGUCUAAUACCGGAUGACACUCUUCCCUGCAUGGGGGAGGGUUGAAAGCUCCGGCGGUGAAGGAUGAGCCCGCGGCCUAUCAGCUUGUUGGUGGGGNAAUGGCCUACCNAGGCGACGACGGGUAGCCGGNCUGAGAGGGCGACCGGCCACACUGGGACUGAGACACGGCCCAGACUCCUACGGGAGGCAGCAGUGGGGAAUAUUGCACAAUGGGCGAAAGCCUGAUGCAGCGACGCCGCGNGAGGGAUGACGGCCUUCGGGUNGUAAACCUCUUUCAGCNGGGAAGAAGCGAAAGUGACGGUACCUGCAGAAGAAGCGCCGGCUAACUACGUGCCANCAGCCGCGGUAAUACGUAGGGCGCAAGCGUUGUCCGGAAUUAUUGGGCGUAAAGAGCUCGUAGGCGGCUUGUCACGUCGGUUGUGAAAGCCCGGGGCUUAACCCCGGGUCUGCAGUCNAUACGGGCAGGCUAGAGUGUGGUAGGGGAGAUCGGAAUUCCUGGUGUAGCGGUGAAAU